rnacentral:rRNA from 1 species
GGAACCUUCUGGAAAGUUGGACGAUACAGGGUGAUAGUCCCGUACACGAAAAUGCAUCUUAAGUGAAAUCGAGUAGGUCGGAGCACGUGAAACUUUGACUGAAUAUAGGUGGACCAUCAUCUAAGGCUAAAUACUCCCAACUGACCGAUAGUGAACCAGUACCGUGAGGGAAAGGCGAAAAGAACCCCUGUGAGGGGAGUGAAAUAGAACCUGAAACCGUAUACGUACAAGCAGUGGGAGCCCUUCGGGGUGACUGCGUACCUUUUGUAUAAUGGGUCAGCGACUUAUAUUUAGUAGCAAGGUUAAGUGAAUAACGGAGCCGUAGCGAAAGCGAGUCUUAAUAGGGCGCCAUAGUCAGUAGUAGUAGACGCGAAACCGUGCGAUCUACCCAUGGGCAGGUUGAAGCUGUGGUAACACAUAGUGGAGGACCGAACCCGUUGACGUUGAAAAGUCUUGGGAUGACCUGUGGGUAGGGGUGAAAGGCCAAUCAAGCUCGGAAAUAGCUCGUACUCCCCGAAAUGCAUUUAGGUGCAGCGUGUAGAUAGUUUUAUAGAGGUAGAGCUACUGAUUGGAUGCGGGGGCUUCACCGCCUACCAAUUCCUGACAAACUCCGAAUGCUAUAAAAUGUUUCUGCGCAGUGAGGGCAUGGGUGCUAAGGUCCAUGUCCGAGAGGGAAAGAACCCAGAUCACCGGCUAAGGUCCCAAAGUAUAUGCUAAGUUGAUAUAACGCGGUGGAACUGCAUUGACAGCCAGGAUGUUGGCUUGGAAGCAGCCAUUCAUUUAAAGAGUGCGUAACAGCUCACUAGUCGAGCGAUCGGGCGUGGAUAAUAAUCGGGCAUUAAGCAUACUGCCGAAGCAAUGGACUCGAAAGAGUGGUAGGGGAGCAUUCUAAGGGCGUAGAAGGUGUACUGUGAGGUAUGCUGGAGCGCUUAGAAAAGAAAAUGUAGGCAUAAGUAACGAUAAUGCGGGCGAGAAACCCGCACGCCGAAAGACCAAGGUUUCCCCAGCUAUGCUAAUCAGCUGGGGGUCAGUCGGGACCUAACGCGAACCCGAAGGGGAUAGUGGAUGGACAACAGAUUAAUAUUUCUGUACCUGCUCACGCUAAAAGUGACGGAGGCGAGAAGUUGGUGCGUACAGACGGAAUUGUACGUUGAAGGGAGUAGUAAUACCCCGAUAGUACACCGAGGCCACGGCCAAGGUGAUAAUCCAGCAUAUCGACUUCCAAGAAAAGCGAGUGAAGCAGCCCGUACCGUAAACCGACACAGGUGGUUGGGAUGAGUAUUCUAAGGCGCUCGAGAGAUUCAUGGCUAAGGAACUAGGCAAAAUAGACCCGUAACUUCGGGAGAAGGGUCGCCCCCUUAUGGGGGGCCGCAGUGAAGAGGUCCAGGCGACUGUUUAUCAAAAACACAGGGCUCUGCAAAAUCGAAAGAUGACGUAUAGGGCCUGACACCUGCCCGGUGCUGGAAGGUUAAGAGGAGAUGUCAUUCCUUCGGGGAGAAGCAUUGAAUUGAAGCCCCAGUAAACGGCGGCCGUAACAAUAACGGUCCUAAGGUAG